rnacentral:lncRNA from 1 species
CAGGGUUAUCUUCCAGUUACUAUUACCCGCUGGCGGGGGUCGUAAAGCCAAGUUACUUUUACCUACUGGCGGGGGUCAUAUGCCUAGUUACUGUUACCUACUGGCGGGGGUCGUGCAUAGCGAUCUGAGAGUCUUUAAAACAUAUCAUGCUUUUCAUAAAUCUUUUCUUAUAGAUACUUUGGAAAGUGAAUAAUGGCAUCAUGCUAAAUCAAACUCAUAAUUAUGCUGAAAACUUUAUUUUUCUAUGCAUCUUUCUACAUCAUCAUAAUCAUGUGUAUACAAUAUAAUAAUAAUUAUGAUCCAAAAUCAUGUAAUCAUUUGCUAACACAUGCUUGAUCCUAAUUUUAUGAAAACAUAAAUAAUCAUAUACAAUUCCAUAAUCGAGUAGUCACAAGUAUUUGAUAAAACAUAAGAUUAUAUCAGGGUUACUUUUUCCACAAUUCAUAUACACAUUUCCAAUUGCAUAAAUAAUACUUUUUCAUCUUAUAAAACAUGAAACAUGAUCCAUAAUAAGAUUAAGAUAGAUUACUUACUUUUCAUCUUCUUCUUCUCUUCUCUUCUUUCUUCUUUUUCUUUUCUUUUCCUUUUUCUUUCUUUUUCUUUUCUUCUUCUUCUUUCCGUCCCGAUCUCCUCCCCCUCCUCUUCUCCUCCUCACUUGAAGCGAGGCGGCUCAUGGAGUACUCGGAAGGAGCCGAGUCCGAGGUCGAUGGUGCCGGCGGCCGGCCAACAUCGCCCGUUGCUCGGCCUGUAGCGGCCGAUCCCCCCCUUCUUCAUCAUCCUUCUUCUCUUGAGAAGGGAGGAGGGCGGCCCCCCCUNACGGAAGAGGUCGACCGCGACCGGCGGCGCCCGCCGUCGAACCCGUGGCCGCGCCCGCGGCGGCCGGCCCCCUUCUGUUCCUUGGUGGAAAAGGGGUGUCGAGACCACCCUCUAGAAAGG